rnacentral:lncRNA from 1 species
CAGGCACCUGUCUCUGGGAAGGUGGCUCGCUGUUCCAUCCCUUGUAGAGUUUUCUACUGGGUCUCCGGUGCAAGCUUCACUCAACCAAAACAGGCUGUCUUUCACGGUCCCACAGCAUACCACCUUGCUGGGAUCAAAAAGGGCUCUUCACUUUUGUUUAGGAUUAAGUUAAUUCACCUUGAGACAUUAUUCUUUACAGUGUGGCUCUUGAAAUAUGCUACAUUCACACUGAGUAAGAUCUGUUUUGAGCCAGUCUUUGAAGUCUGACCCAUCUGCAUGCUUACCCAGUAUAUGUGCAUACCAGGAGCUUCUGGUAGGCUCUUGGGAAAAGCAACUGUUUUCUCACUGUUGUCAACUCCUCUCCAAUCAACAUACGGCUGCAGGACUUCAAGGCUAAGGCAGCAAGAAAAGAAAUCCUUCCAUAUUCAAGUAUUUGAUUUGGAAUUUGAUGUACAGUAUUUCUCAAGUUGAAAAAAAA